rnacentral:rRNA from 1 species
GAUUAACGCUAGCGGCAGGCCUAAUACAUGCAAGUCGAGGGGUAACAGGGUAGCAAUACCGCUGACGACCGGCGCACGGGUGCGUAACACGUAUGCAAUCUAUCUUUAACUGGGGGAUAAUUCGCCGAAAGGCGGACUAAUACCGCAUAACACUGUGAGGGGACAUCCCCAUACAGUCAAACCUCCGGGGGUUAAAGCUGAGCAUGCGUCCGAUUAGAUAGUUGGCGGGGUAACGGCCCACCAAGCUACGAUCGGUAGGGGUUCUGAGAGGAAGAUCCCCCACACUGGUACUGAGAUACGGACCAGACUCCUACGGGAGGCAGCAGUAAGGAAUAUUGGACAAUGGGCGCAAGCCUGAUCCAGCCAUGCCGCGUGCAGGAUGAAAGUGCUCAGCACUGUAAACUGCUUUUGUUACGGGAAAAAUUCCCUGGUUUCUACCGGGGUUNAUUGUACUGAAAGAAUAAGGGACGGCUAACUUCGUGCCAGCCGCCGCUGUAAU